GACGAACGCUGGCGGCGUGCUUAACACAUGCAAGUCGAACGGAAAGGCCCUGCUUUUGUGUUGUGCUCGAGUGGCGAACGGGUGAGUAACACGUGAGUAGCCUGCCCUUUACUUUGGGAUAACUUCUGGAAACUGGGGCUAAUACCGCAUAGGAGCUCCUGCUGCAUGGUGGGGGUUGGAAAGUUUCGGCGGUCGGGGCUGGACUCGCGGCUGAUCAGCUUGUUGGUGGGGUAGUGGCGUACCAAGGCUUUGCCGGGUAUCCGGCCUGAGAGGGUUGCCGGCCACAUUAGGCCUGAGAUACGGACCAGAGUCGAACGGGGGGCAGCAGUGGGGAGUCUGGUACAGUGGUGGGAAGUGUAAGGAGGCGACGUCGCGUUCGUAAUGUCGGUCUACGGGUGGUGAAGCGAGUUCGCUUGUGACGAUGGGUGAGUGACGGUAAUGGGAAAAGAAGCACCGGCUAACUACGUG
rnacentral:rRNA from 1 species